GCUCUUAUAGUCUAACUGGAUAGGACAUAGCCCUCCGAAGGCUGUAAUCUGAGUUCGAAUCUCAGUAGGAGCA
rnacentral:tRNA from 2 species